UACGAAGGGUGCAAACGUUGCUCGGAAUUAUUGGGCGUAAAGCGCACGUAGGCGGCUUGCAAGUCGGAUGUGAAUCCCUCGGCUUAACCAAGGAAGUGCAUCCGAAACUGCAGAGCUUGAGUACUUAAGAGGAUCGCGGAAUUCCCGGUGUAGAGGUGAAAUUCGUAGAUAUCGGGAGGAACACCAGUGGCGAAGGCGACUUCUUGGCCUGUUCUUGACGCUGAGGCGGCGAAAGCUGGGGAGCAAACGGG
rnacentral:rRNA from 1 species